CUAGAGUUCAGUAGGCCUAUGCCCUUGUAUUACUACCCAUUGUUUUUUGCGCUACCUUCAUUGUAUCCCUCGGCUGGGCUUCGCUCACCGAUUGGACAACAUUUAUAACCCUUUUGAAGUCUGCAAUCAGCGUCUGAAAUUAUAUUUAAUAGUCA
rnacentral:misc_RNA from 1 species